rnacentral:rRNA from 1 species
GUCCACGCCGUAAACGAUGUGUGCUGGAUGUUGGGCAGUCUGACUGUUCAGUGUCGUAGCUAACGCGAUAAGCACACCGCCUGGGGAGUACGGCCGCAAGGUUGAAACUCAAAGGAAUUGACGGGGGCCCGCACAAGCGGUGGAGCAUGUGGUUUAAUUCGACGCAACGCGCAGAACCUUACCAGGACUUGACAUGGAGGGGACGCGUACAGAGAUGUACGUUCCCGCGAGGGCCCCUUGCACAGGUGCUGCAUGGCUGUCGU